CCCUUAGAUGUCCGGGGCUGCACGCGCGCUACACUGAAGGAAUCAGCGUGUUAAAACCAUUGUCGAAAGGCAUUGGUAAACCCAUUAAAAUCCUACGUGAUUGGGAUCGGGAAUUGCAAUUAUUUCCCUUGAACGAGGAAUUCCCAGUAAGUGUGGGUCAUAAGCUCGCGUUGAUUACGUCCCUGCCCUUUGUACACACCGCCCGUCGCUGCCCGGGACUGAGCCGUUUCGAGAAAAGCGGGGACUGCUGCUGUCGGGGCUUUCGGGCCUUGGCUUCGGUGGAAACCGCUUUAAUCGCAGUGGCUUGAACCGGGCAAAAGUCGUAACA
rnacentral:rRNA from 1 species